AACGAACGCUGGCGGCAUGCCUAACACAUGCAAGUCGAACGAGAUCUUCGGGUCUAGUGGCGCACGGGUGCGUAACGCGUGGGAAUCUGCCCUUUGGUUCGGAAUAACAGUUGGAAACGACUGCUAAUACCGGAUGAUGACGAAAGUCCAAAGAUUUAUCGCCAGAGGAUGAGCCCGCGUAGGAUUAGCUAGUUGGUGUGGUAAAGGCGAACCAAGGCGACGUUCCUUAGCUGGUCUGAGAGGAUGAUCAGCCACACUGGGACUGAGACACGGCCCAGACUCCUACGGGAGGCAGCAGUGGGGAAUAUUGGACAAUGGGCGAAAGCCUGAUCCAGCAAUGCCGCGUGAGUGAUGAAGGCCUUAGGGUUGUAAAGCUCUUUUACCCGGGAUGAUAAUGACAGUACCGGGAGAAUAAGCUCCGGCUAACUCCGUGCCAGCAGCCGCAGUAA
rnacentral:rRNA from 1 species